rnacentral:rRNA from 1 species
GACGAACGCUGGCGGCGUGCCUAAUACAUGCAAGUAGAACGCUGAAGGAGGAGCUUGCUUCUCUGGAUGAGUUGCGAACGGGUGAGUAACGCGUAGGUAACCUGCCUGGUAGCGGGGGAUAACUAUUGGAAACGAUAGCUAAUACCGCAUAAUAGUAGAUGUUGCAUGACAUUUGCUUAAAAGGUGCAAUUGCAUCACUACCACAUGGACCUGCGUUGUAUUAGCUAGUUGGUGGGGUAACGGCUCACCAAGGCGACGAUACAUAGCCGACCUGAGAGGGUGAUAGGCCACACUGGGACGGAGACACGGCCAAGACGGGUACGGGAGGCAGCAGAAGGGAAUCUUCGGCAAUGGACGGAAGUCUGACCGAGCAACGCCGCGAGAGUGAAGAAGGAUUUCGGAUCGUAAAGCUAUGUUGUAAGAGAAGAACGAGGGUGAGAGUGGAAAGUUCACACUGUGACGGGAACUGAGCAGAAAGGGACGGCUAAAUACGUG